AAUCCGUCGACUUUAUAAAUCAUGAGGGUUCAAGUCCCUCUAUCCCCA
rnacentral:tRNA from 1 species